rnacentral:rRNA from 1 species
UAGUGGGGAAUAUUGCACAAUGGGCGAAAGCCUGAUGCAGCGACGCCGCGUGAGGGAUGACGGCCUUCGGGUUGUAAACCUCUUUCAGUAGGGAAGAAGCGAAAGUGACGGUACCUGCAGAAGAAGCGCCGGCUAACUACGUGCCAGCAGCCGCGGUAAUACGUAGGGCGCAAGCGUUAUCCGGAAUUAUUGGGCGUAAAGAGCUCGUAGACGGUUUGUCG